GACGUAGGGCGCGAGCGUUGUCCGGAUUUAUUGGGCGUAAAGAGCUCGUAGGCGGUUUGUCGCGUCGUUCGUGAAAACUCACAGCUCAACUGUGAGCUUGCGGUCGAUACGGGCAGGCUAGAGUUCGGUAGGGGAGACUGGAAUUCCUGGUGUAGCGGUGAAAUGCGCAGAUAUCAGGAGGAACACCGGUGGCGAAGGCGGGUCUCUGGGCCGAUACUGACGCUGAGGAGCGAAAGCGUGGGGAGCGAACGGG
rnacentral:rRNA from 1 species